rnacentral:tRNA from 2 species
AAAAAUUUAGUUAAAUAAUAACAUUAGUUUGUCAAACUAAAAUUAUUUCUUAAGAAAUAAUUUUUA